rnacentral:rRNA from 1 species
AUGGACGUCAGCCCGCACUCGCACUCGGCGACCUCGCGCCCCGCGGGGGAGCGCCCCGUUGUGUCUGGCUUGGGUCUCUCGUCCUGCUCGGCAUCGUCGACCGCUUCGGAGGGGGCUGAGGCCUCGUCUAGGCCACCGGCGGGCAUGGCCGACGGCCUGCAGCUGGUCCCCUGGGAGCGGCCUCCCCUGUCUGGGCGUGCCAAGUGGCGGCGCCGCCAUGACCCGGCCGCGCAGCCGCAGCGCGUGCCGCCACGCUUCUCCCCUUCGCGCGAGGUGUCACCGGAGAUGGUGGGCCUGUGCUUCCGCUGCUUCCAGGACGGGCACUACCGGAAGGAUUGCACCAAUGACAUUGUCUGCUUCAGGUGUGGGCUGUCGGGUCAUGGAUCCAGGGUCUGCAAGCGGCCCCUGCAGCCCGUCGUCGCCAGAGGAGCUUCGGAGGCUUGUCGUCAAGAAGGUGGCUCGCGGGGCAUGGGAUCUGCUCCUGCUAGUCGCGGCUCGGGUGGGGCGUUGGCGGGAGCGCUGCUCCGCUCCCGCCGCCGCCCCCUGCGGCUGCCGCGGUGCCACCGGUCUGGCCCCGCCUCCCCACGCCGCCUCCGGUCGGGCCUUGCCACCCGGUGCCGCGACCGGUGCUGCCUGUGGACGAGGAGUUUGACCCGUCUGAGCUCUGCUUGGUGCGCCGCACCCAGUCCAUGGAGGGGUUGGAAGGCCGGCUGCAGUUAUCCAUGGUGGCAUACGCGGCGGGCGCUAGGAAUGAUAUCUCGCUGGAGUUCGUUCUUGAGGUGCUGUAGGUCAAGGUGUGCAUAG